CUGAUUGAUUUUUCAGACCAGUCACGACUCACACCUGUAGCUACAGGUUGGAUCACACUCCUGAUGUCCAAGCUUUUGGGGGGAAAUGAACACCUCAGCAAAACUGAUGUUCUUUUAUACAGGAGGAAGAGGGUUGGAAAGGUGGAUGCCUGUUGGCUAGACAACCAAGGAAGUUUUCUUACAAGAAUUUUUAUUUAUUUAUUGUAAGCAAAGGAAUAUAUUCAGCAACUGGAACCCAUAUCACCAGUGAGCAUGGAUUGAACUAGUAAGUGGAGAUUUCCUUCAAAAAAGAAAUAACCAAUCAUGAUAUCAAACUGUUUGACAGUGUGAAAAGUUUGAGAUGUAGACAUGACUAUCUAGAUGCAUCUUUGAAUUCUGAAAGAUCUAAUUAUUUUGCUGUGUGGAGAAGAUCAAGACACAUGACUGGUGAUGAUUUCACCUCUGGAAAACAGUAUCCGGUGCUGGAUGUGGGCGACUCGGGAGUGGGCUCUAGGAGUCUGUAAGGAUACUUGGAUAAGGAAGAAUGGCCCUCUGAUGGCAUCUGAGGAUAGGUUUCUUCUUCUAUGUGUGAAGGAGGGUAAUUGUUACAGUCCCCAAUCCACUUUCCCAGUGUUUGUCAGUAAAGAAACCUCUGGGCCAGGUGGGUUAUGUGACUGUGGAGGGAGAUGAUCCGGCUGAGUAUCAGAAGGUGUACCACUUGCUUUAUGAGGAAGAGAGAGCAAAUAGAAAAGGAAAGCAAGGAGAUUUUUUUCAACUACUCAAAGAAAGUGGAGACAGCAUGGCCCUCAAGGGGAAACUCCUAAGAGGAAUGUAUGAGGACCUCAAGAAAAUGUGCCGUAAACCAGACAUGGAGCUGCUCCAAGUAAGGACUGAAGAAUAAAGAGUGACGGUGCUGACUGAAUCAUGUCCAUAUUCUCUUUGCCCUCCAUCACCACUGUGCAAUGAUGCUUUCUGAUACUGUGCAUUUUGAAGACACAUUAAAAAGG